AGACCUUUCUAUCACUUCCCCUCUCCCAGUCGAUUUCUCUGAACCGAAAGAGAAGAGGAAGUUUCAGAGACAGGAAGAAAGACAGAGAGAGAUUGAUUCCUUUUUCGAUAUCUGUUUGUAGGGAUUUUAUUCUAUCGAUUCGAGAUGACGACUAGACCGGUUGUUCCACAACAAUCGAGAGACGAAGCCCAAUUCAAAGACCGGAGCAAGACCGAUCUGGUGGUUCAAAGCAAGAACGAUCUGGUGGAGCAAAGCAAUACCAAUCUGGUGGUUCAAAUCAAGCCUGAUCUUGUGCUCUUUGGUUGGGGGUUUGUGUUUGGAUGGCUGAUUGAGAGAGUUUGUCAAUUUCCCCAUUGAUUCCCUACACCUACAACAAAGAACAUUCUUUCACUUAAUUACUUUUUUGGCAGGAACAGAUAGAUAGAUCUAUUGCUUAGGGUCUAUCUUCAAUCCUAUUGCUGAUUUUCUUAUAUCAAAUAGUUAUUUGUGCAUUAUCACGGUUUGCCCUUUUUUUUGACUUUGAUCAAUAACGGGGUUUGGGUCUUAAAGUGGAUUGUUUUAGUGUUUCAAGUAUCAAGAUUUGGAGGGACUGAUAUUGCUGUUGCAACUGGGUGUCUGCCAUUGAAGAAGCACAAUAUUGGGUCCUAUGAGUUUCAGUGUUUAACCCCAAAUAAAGAAAAAUCAUAGACGCAUGAUUUGCAUCCUGAGAGUGGCUACCUACAUUCAAAAACUCACGUGCCCUUGGUGUAAACUUCCAUUUGAAUUCCUAAACGUCCAUCGUGCAAUUGAUGACAGGUAUUGCGGCUGAUUCCUGUUUCUAUUUCUUUAUGCAAACACAAAAGAUCGAAAUAUUUUGCCUAUCCAAGUUAAAUAUGCAUUGUUAUAUAUAUAGUUAUAUACAUUCUCAUCGAUAAACUCAUAAACCAUCAAAGAGUUUUUUUUUUCAUCUUAGUUUUUUGUUCCUCUGGAGAGGGGGUGAUAUUAUUUUUUGCAACUGACUCUCAAUUAAUACAGUUGGUUUAUGUUUCUGAGUUGGUGUUGGUUGUCAAGGGGAAGUCAAAGGUGUAAACAUGGUCCUCUAUGGAGAAAAAAGGAGCCAAAGAGAGGAGGUUAAGGGGCCUGCGAGUCCCAGAUUACAAAUGGCCCAAGUCCUAGAUAGAUCUUUACUUAAGUGUUAUGCGUUCUUUGGUUAAUCACCAAGUAUGCUUAACCUCUUCGUGGUGAUACAAAUUUCUAUUUGGUCCAUUUUAUAAGCAAUUAUGACGGAAACACUCUAAUACUUACAUAAACCCAUUUGUUUUCUUUUUGUUAAAAGGUUCCUUUUAAUUUCCAUAUAGCUUUAAAAAUGCGUUUGCGUGCAUACAAAUUUGCGGGGCAAUCAAACUCUAUUGAUGGAACAUACCGAUGACGGUUAACUUUGGUUGCUGGGAUUGUAAAAUUACAAUAAAUUUUUGGACGUGGUUAUUGUAAAAUUACUUUUAAAAAGCUGGAAGAAUAGUUUUAUUUUUUAUUUUUAAAAUUAACAAUUAAUUAUUUUUUACAAUACACUUCUAAUGUGUUAACAUCUUAUAUUUUUGCUAUUUAACUUUUUUACCACUGCAACUGUUUUAAAUAAUUGUAGUCUUUUUGAUUUAAUGUGGCCUUCAAUUUUUGCCUAUUGAAGGAGAGUUGAUAGCGAAUGAGUUUAUUGAGAGAAGAGACAGCAACAAAAGAAUAUCAUCAUCAUCAACCAUAUAGUGAGACUGCCAGUAUAUAUUAAGUAUCGUGUUUAAUUAAUUAGGCUUGAAAUCUCUACGUAUGUGCAUGGGAUUAUAUAUGAGCUUCUCUUAUUAAUUAGUUUGAACUUUGAACACUUCUAUCCCUUUUAGUUAAUGACCUCUGCAGUCUUCUUUUAUCUAAGUAAUUGGAAGCUAGAAUGGUGAGUUUUCUCGCCUUUGCAUUCAUUGCGUUUCCCAUUAAUGACGAGGUUCAAACUCCUCAUGACAUUGUAAGUUUGUUAGUAUUGUGGUUUGGUUGAUCAAUUCUCAAACAUGACAUGCUAAGUUUUUUAAUUCGUUUUAUUGUGGGCUAAUUUUGAACAGAACAAGCAGCAUGGGAGGGCCAAGGAGAAAGAGGUAGACCUAAAAUAUUUAUAUUUUUGGCUUGGAAGGAAAUAAUAUUUCCUGAAGGAUUAUUCUGUCCAAGAUUUGAAAAAAAAUGGUUUACCAUGAAUCCUAGAUGUUUUUAUAUAGUUCAUGGUUUUUGUAUUAAGACAUUAUAUAAGUUCCUGUUAUCUCUCUCAUAAAUAUUUAAUAUCGCAAUUGUUACGUUUCUUUUGUCCAUGUGUGUAAAAGUCAAUUGCUUUGAAGGAUAAUUUUGUAAUGCAAAGUUGAACUUUGUUUGAUCAAUAAUGUUCCCGGAAA